UACGUAGGGGGCAAGCGUUGUCCGGAAUCAUUGGGCGUAAAGCGCGUGUAGGCGGCUCGAUAAGUCUGCUGUGAAAGUUCAGGGCUCAACCCUGAAAUGCCGGUGGAAACUGUCAAGCUUGAGUCCGGAAGAGGCGAGUGGAAUUCCUGGUGUAGCGGUGAAAUGCGCAGAUAUCAGGAGGAACACCAAUGGCGAAGGCAGCUCGCUGGGACGGUACUGACGCUGAGGAGCGAAAGCGUGGGGAGCGAACAGG
rnacentral:rRNA from 1 species